rnacentral:rRNA from 1 species
CCGCGAAACUGCGAAUGGCUCAUUAUAUAAGUUAUCGUUUAUUUGAUAGUACCUUACUACUUGGAUAACCGUGGUAAUUCUAGAGCUAAUACAUGCUAAAAAUCCCGACUUCGGAAGGGAUGUAUUUAUUAGAUUAAAAACCAAUGCCCUUCGGGGCUCACUGGUGAUUCAUGAUAACUCCUCGAAUCGCAUGGCCUUGUGCCGGCGAUGGUUCAUUCAAAUUUCUUCCCUAUCAACUUUCGAUGUUUGGGUAUUGGCCAAACAUGGUUGCAACGGGUAACGGAGGGUUAGGGCUCGACCCCGGAGAAGGAGCCUGAGAAACGGCUACUACAUCCAAGGAAGGCAGCAGGCGCGCAAAUUACCCAAUCCCGACACGGGGAGGUAGUGACAAUAAAUACUGAUACAGGGCUCUUUUGGGUCUUGUAAUUGGAAUGAGUACAAUUUAAAUCCCUUAACGAGGAACAAUUGGAGGGCAAGUCUGGUGCCAGCAGCCGCGGUAAUUCCAGCUCCAAUAGCGUAUAUUAAAGUUGUUGUGGUUAAAAAGCUCGUAGUUGAACCUUGGGCCUGGCUGGCCGGUCCGCCUCACCGCGUGUACUGGUCCGGCCGGGCCUUUCCCUCUGUGGAACCCCAUGCCCUUCACUGGGUGUGGCGGGGAAACAGGACUUUUACUGUGAAAAAAUUAGAGUGCUCCAGGCAGGCCUAUGCUCGAAUACAUUAGCAUGGAAUAAUAGAAUAGGACGUGUGGUUCUAUAUUGUUGGUUUCUAGGACCGCCGUAAUGAUUAAUAGGGACAGUCGGGGGCAUCAGUAUUCAAUUGUCAGAGGUGAGAUUCUUGGAUUUAUUGAAGACUAACUACUGCGAAAGCAUUUGCCA